rnacentral:miRNA from 1 species
AGGGUCUUAGCGGUCGAGUGG